rnacentral:rRNA from 1 species
UGGCUAACUCCUACGGGAGGCAGCAGUGGGGAAUAUUGGACAAUGGGCGAAAGCCUGAUCCAGCCAUGCCGCGUGAGUGAUGAAGGCCCUAGGGUUGUAAAGCUCUUUUACCUGGGAAGAUAAUGACGGUACCAGGAGAAUAAGCCCCGGCUAACUUCGUGCCAGCAGCCGCGGUGAUACGAAGGGGGCUAGCGUUGUUCGGAAUCACUGGGCGUAAAGGGCGCGUAGGCGGCGUUUUAAGUCGGGGGUGAAAGCCUGUGGCUCAACCACAGAAUUGCCUUCGAUACUGGGACGCUUGAGUCUGGUUGAGGUUGGUGGAACUGCGAGUGUAGAGGUGAAAUUCGUAGAUAUUCGCAAGAACACCGGUGGCGAAGGCGGCCAACUGGACCAGUACUGACGCUGAGGCGCGAAAGCGUGGGGAGCAAACAGGAUUAGAAACCCCAGUAGUCCAGCUGG